rnacentral:rRNA from 1 species
CCUACCCUUGACAUGUCAGGAAGUCCGCAGAGAUGUGGAUGUGCUCGAAAGAGAACCUGAACACAGGUGCUGCAUGGCUGUCGUCAGCUCGUGUCGUGAGAUGUUGGGUUAAGUCCCGCAACGAGCGCAACCCUUGUCAUUAGUUGCUACGAAAGGGCACUCUAAUGAGACUGCCGGUGACAAACCGGAGGAAGGUGGGGAUGACGUCAAGUCCUCAUGGCCCUUAUGGGUAGGGCUUCACACGUCAUACAAUGGUCGGUACAGAGGGCUGCCAACCCGCGAGGGGGAGCUAAUCCUUUAAAACCGAUCGUAGUCCGGAUUGUAGUCUGCAGCUCGACUGCAUGAAGUCGGAAUCGCUAGUAAUCGCGGAUCAGAAUGUCGCGGUGAAUACGUUCCCGGGUCUUGUACACACGCAAUC